CUUCCGUAAUUAAGCGUACAGAAAUUGUACAAAGCGUCUUUCUUUAAAAUUUUUUCGUAUCGUAUGAACGAAUACGCGUAUUUAAGCAUAUCGAUCACGUUAAAACGCGUUAAGAUACAAACGGUUUAUAAUGCAGCCGCAACGUUCGUGGACGAAUAUUCGAGACGACGCUAGCGCCACUGUUGAGCGCUAACCGAGUUAUUCUUACGUAUACGUCUCUCUCGAUCUUCGUAUCUUUCUACAAUGAAGAAGAAAAAUUGAAAGAAUCCGCUCGAAAGUUUUCGUUUGACCCGCGAUAACGACGAAAGACGACGAAAUAAUUCCAUCGCGUUUAUUAUCUCGUUACUUUCGAUGCUCCGUGUACACCGUGUUCAUUGUCGGGGGAAAGAAAGGAGUCGUUUUUAUGACUCGCCGAUCCGACGAUAGGGGAUGUCGGCGACAAGACAUAAUCUGUCAGGCGCAGGCUUGAUGACGUUUACAUAAUCACGUGGUUUAAAUUGUUGUACUGUUGUCGGUACAAGCUUACGUAACCGGAAUUCAACCGGAGUUCUCGGCGAGAAGCACGAAAAUGUGUGGUAGGCGAGCGUGUGCAGUAUACGCGGUGUACAUAAUACCGUGCAAACCGUAUUUAUACAUUUUUCGUAUUCUGAACGUGAAUGAGAGAAUAGGAGAAGAAGUAAAGUGGAAUGGCGAGGAGAUAUGGACAAAUAAAUUUGGAGGAAAUCGAUGGAAAGAUUCGAGAGUGGAGAAGGAAACGGACAUAGGAAGAAUUUUCGAAAGCGUGCCAUGUAUCUCUUUUCGGUUUUAAUAAUCGUAAUUAUCGGCUAUAUAAAAUUGCUACGAAUUAUCCGUAAAAAGGCUCGUUUCAUGAGUAAUUACCAUAAAGUUGGAUUCAACUCGUAAUUACGUAAACUGUAUCAAUUAUCGAGUGAAUCAGCCGGAGACGAUAUACUUAUUACGAUACAAUUCGUCAACGGGAUGAAGGAUGUUCUCUUUUCCAUAAAUAAUAAUAAAAAAUGGAAGAAUCUUCGAAUAUCGGUCGAAACGAAUGAUACGAUAUUUUUUCAUUGAAGCGAGAGCGAAAUCAUGAAACCUAACCUCACUUAAGCGAUAGAGAUACCGUUGUUGAUCGAGGUUAAAGAAUAUACAAAAUACAAAAUCGCGUUGAAAGAGCGAAAAAUAAAGGUUAUGUUCCUUCCUCGAACGUUGGCGGAAAGCGGAAGAAGCGGUGGAGAAUCGUAUUUACGAGGAGGGCAAUGUCAAGGCGACCAACUUAUUUCCUUAUCAAUGCGGGAUUACGUAACGAACUGGAAGCACGGUGCACCGAUAGCGCGAGCGUGUGUCCCCUAUGUGCUUGACCUGUGACGUAAAAGUUGUGCAGGAACUGGCGCGUUUGCAAGGCCGUUUUAAAUAUUUGCCAAGCUUCCUCCUCCGCGCCACGAUUCGAGGAGACCGUCCCCCAGAAAAAUCCGUUUCAGCAUCUCGAACGUGCGAGCAUAGACGUGAAAAUAAUAAAGAUCCGAGGGGAGAAGAGAGAGAGAGAGAGAGAGAGAGAGAGAGAGAGAGAGAGAGAGAGAGAGAGAGCGGAGAGACGGUGAGCCAUAUAUCGGAGAAAGUGAAGCCGGUAGUGAAUGCAACACGCGUGGAGACGUGACUGGACCGAGCAUUUUCGUUUCAAGAAUUUCAACUUGAUAUUCCACACCGCUGGAUCCGAAUAAUUAUCAAACGUAAAACGACGUUAACCAAACUGGAGACCCACUUGGAUUCCCUUACAAUCAUUAUAUUCCCUAUACGAAUAGAGAAACGUUAUUUGCAUUUGAAAUGCUUCGACCUUUUCGGAUCUGCUGCGCGCCGUGCGAGAGAUCUCUGCCUCGCUGGUCGACGCUAGCGCCAUGCCUUGACUGGGUCACAGUUGAGUGGAGACGAAACGAAUUUCUCGUUCAACGUUCUACGUGACGCGAUACACUCGUUGAAUUUCGUCCUUUUUGGAAAGAGAUUAUUCAAAUUCGGGUUUUCCUUUUUCGUGAUUGGAACGGAGAUUUUGUUCAAUUCUUAAGGCAAAGUGGAUUUUAGCAAAUGUUCUUUUAUUUAUUUUGUCUUGUCUCGUGCCGAAAAUUUUUAGGUUAAUUGCAAUCGAAUCGAGUAGACUUGACUUGUUGUUGUAGAUUCUGUAUCUGAAUUAUGGAUACUAAUAAAUAUCGUAUUAGAUACGCGAGUGAAAAAGUGUUGGUCGGGAGAAAGUUAUAAUGAUAAUUCGUGGGAUAAAGAUCGUUCGAGUUUGCAUUGCAGAGUAAGCGAGGCAAAGAUAUGGCGGAACGAUUCGACUCGGUUUAUUUCGCUUCUAAUUUCGUGGCCGAAAAUGAAAGGUUUUAUUUAAGAAUUGAUCGAGGAAAUGAUUCCCUUGUUCGAUUAAUUGGAAACGGUAAAAUUUUCAAACGAGAAAUAAAAGUACCAUUCAUUUCUUUAUUCCGCUAAAAUAUACGUCAACGAUAAUUAAGCAUGCGACGAUAUAAUUGCACGAGAUAUGUAUCUGGCGAAACUAAAAAUAAUAUAGAAAUGAAAAGUAUCGAGGAAUAAAUUUCGUUUGACUUGCAAAAUUCAAUCUCGUAGAAUGAGAUAACGUUAAGUAACAGAGAUUGUGUAAUAAUGAUAAAGACACGAAUAGCACGUAAUUACGAUGCCAAUGUUUCUUCCUAUUUGAAUUUCAUCGAUGCACGUUUUUAACAUAAUCGUAAAAUUAAUAUUAAUAAUAAAAAAAAAAAGUUGAAAAAAAAAAGAUACACGUGCAACAAUGCAAUAAUGUUUGAAAUCAUGACUUUCCAUUUCGCGUUGUACAACAGUUCUACGUGAGGAUAUGCAGACGUUCCUUUCUUCGACGCACGUUUUAAGAUAAGAAUCGUCGUCGAGAGAUUAAGAAUAUUCGUCAAUGAUCUAAAGUUUCUGGGACAAAUUUAUCUUUUCACGAUUAUUCUUUGAAACGAAUCGUGUAUCGAUCGGAAAAUCGGGUCAUCCACAUUUCUCUAGUCGAUGCUGGAAAAAAGAAAAUACACGAAUGCGUGUUUACAUAAACGCGAGGAAGGUCGAAAGGUCUGACUCGUAUCUGCGAACAACAAGAUUUCAAUACGAGAAAAACAAAGCGGAAACUUUGGCAAUAUCGUUUAUUAAAUGGAAGCUAAUUCAUACAACAUUGAAAUAUACGAAUAUAUAUGAAUAUGCAUAUUCGAUACGAUUGGAUCCUGUUCCCGCGUAAAAAUCAUCUUUUAUCGAUUAUUUUUAUCCAAUCCAAGUUUACAAGUACGACGUAUUUCCUGCUUGCAUUCCUCGAAUCGCGGUGAUUAAAAACGAUUGUGAUUCAAGUGGAUUUGUGAUUGUAUCAAGAUUGUAUGCAAGUAUAAUUAAUAUUUUUCCAAUCUGUUGGCACGGAUCUAGGGAUAUUUUCAAAUUCGUUUCUUGAUUUUUAUAAAACUUAAUAUUGUUAAAAAUAUCUGUAUAUAUAUACAUAUUUUUUUUUAAUUGAUAAAAACAAUCAUUUUUAUAAUAAUUGCAACGUUAAGAUAAGAUAAUUAUUUUAUCUUGUACACAAAUGAAUAGAUUCAAGCAUAAUGUAUAAAAUUCAUGAAUAUUUUUUCAUAAAUGUUAAAGAGAAAGAUGUUAAGAUAUCUUAAUCACUUUGAAAUUAAAUAGAUUGUAACACGAAGAUGGGAUCUAAUCAACCAAGAUACGAGGAAUGAACAAUGCAAAACUGGAGGGGAGAGGAAGGGAGAGGUGGUUACACCGAGUAAAAUAUUAAAUUUCCAAGUCAACAGUGAGAAACUUGCAAGUAACUACGAGAAUGAUGUAACAUUCUAUGCUCUAUGCUCGAUGUUUACUCGAUAAUGGAAAAGAAUACAUUUUUCUUAACUGCAAAAAUUACGCAUAAUCGUGAUACGCAGUUGUACCGAGAUAAGAACGAGGAAAAUUAAAGAGAAAUGAUAAAUAAUUUCGAAAAUUC